UACGGAGGAUGCGAGCGUUAUCCGGAUUUAUUGGGUUUAAAGGGAGCGCAGGCCGCCCCUUAAGCGUGUUGUGAAAUGCCGCGGCUCAACCGUGGCACUGCAGCGCGAACUGGGGGACUCGAGUUGGAGAGAAGCAGGCGGAAUGCGCGGUGUAGCGGUGAAAUGCAUAGAUAUCACGCAGAACUCCGAUUGCGAAGGCAGCAUACCGGCGCCCAACUGACGCUGAAGCACGAAAGCGUGGGUAUCGA
rnacentral:rRNA from 1 species